UGAUCCAGCAUGCCGCGUGUGUGAAGAAGGCCUUCGGGUUGUAAAGCACUUUUGUCCGGAAAGAAAACGCUCUGGUUAAUACCUGGGGCGGAUGACGGUACCGGAAGAAUAAGCACCGGCUAACUACGUGCCAGCAGCCGCGGUAAUACGUAGGGUGCGAGCGUUAAUCGGAAUUACUGGGCGUAAAGCGUGCGCAGGCGGUUUUGUAAGACAGGCGUGAAAUCCCCGAGCUCAACUUGGGAAUUGCGCUUGUGACUGCAAGGCUAGAGUGUGUCAGAGGGGGGUAGAAUUCCACGUGUAGCAGUGAAAUGCGUAAAGAUGUGGAGGAAUACCGAUGGCGAAGGCAACCCCCUGGGACGUGACUGACGCUCAUGCACGAAAGCGUGGGGAGCAAACAGGAUUAAAUACCCUGGUAGUCCACGCCCUAAAC
rnacentral:rRNA from 1 species